GACGAACGCUGGCGGCGUGCCUAAUACAUGCAAGUAGAACGCACAGUUUAUACCGUAGCUUGCUACACCAUAGACUGUGAGUUGCGAACGGGUGAGUAACGCGUAGGUAACCUGCCUGGUAGCGGGGGAUAACUAUUGGAAACGCUAGCUAAUACCGCAUAAUAUUAAUUAUUGCAUGAUAAUUAAUUGAAAGGUGCAAUUGCACCACUACCAGAUGGACCUGCGUUGUAUUAGCUAGUAGGUGAGGUAACGGCUCACCUAGGCGACGAUACAUAGCCGACCUGAGAGGGUGAUCGGCCACACUGGGACUGAGACACGGCCCAGACUGCUACGGGAGGCAGCAGUAGGGAAUCUGCGGCAAUGGACGAAAGUCUGACCGAGCAACGCCGCGUGAGUGAAGAAGGUUUUCGGAUCGUAAAGCUCUGUUGUAAGAGAAGAACGGGUGUGAGAGUGGAAAGUUCACACUGUGACGGUAUCUGACCAGAAAGGGACGGCUAACUACGUG
rnacentral:rRNA from 1 species